UACGUAGGGUGCGAGCGUUGUCCGGAAUUAUUGGGCGUAAAGAGCUCGUAGGCGGUGUGUCGCGUCGGCCGUGAAAACCUGCAGCUUAACUGUGGGCGUGCGGUCGAUACGGGCAUCACUGGAGUUCGGCAGGGGAGACUGGAAUUCCUGGUGUAGCGGUGAAAUGCGUAGAUAUCAGGAGGAACGCCGGUGGCGAAGGCGGGUCUCUGGGCCGAUACUGACGCUGAGGAGCGAAAGCGUGGGGAGCGAACAGG
rnacentral:rRNA from 1 species